CAACUACUCCCUCUAUCCCAAAUUUUUGUGUUAGAUUUGUCUAGAUACAGAUGUAUCUAAUACUAAAAUGUGACUUGAUACAUCCGUAUCUAGACAAAUCUAAGACAAGAAUUUUGGGACGGAGGGAGUACUUU
rnacentral:pre_miRNA from 1 species